rnacentral:rRNA from 1 species
AUUGAACGCUGGCGGCAGGCCUAACACAUGCAAGUCGAGCGAGCGGCGGACGGGUGAGUGAUGUGUGGGAAACUGCCCGAUGGAGGGGGAGAACUACUGUAAAAGGUAGCUAUAACAGCAUACCAUCAGAGGUGCCCAUAUUGGAGUAGCGAGUAGGUGGGGUAACGGCUCACCUAGGCGACGAUCCCUAGCUGGUCUGAGAGGAUGACCAGCCACACUGGAACUGAGACACGGUCCAGACUCCUACGGGAGGCAGCAGUGGGGAAUAUUGCACAAUGGGCGCAAGCCUGAUGCAGCCAUGCCGCGUGUGUGAAGAAGGCCUUCGGGUUGUAAAGCACUUUCAGCGGGGAGGCGUUACCCGCAGAAGAAGCACCGGCUAACUCCGUGCCAGCCGCCGCGGUAAUUC